UAUCCUUUAUUCUACUGCAUAUCUGCAAUAAACUUUAUGUUGGACAGACCAGUCCGCAACUGAAAAAACUGAAAAAAACAUCUCUCGACAAUUUCACUAGCAAGAAGGGAUAUAGCGAUGCAGAGAAAUCUUACAUCAGUGGCGAAACAUUUUAUAAAAGUCCACUCUAGUAGUCUGAAGGGUCUGAAAGUAUUUGGGUUGGAGAAGAUCACAACAAAUAUACGGGGAGGUUCAAUAACGAACAGGCUACUCCAGAUCGAAUCAAAAUGGAUAUACACACUGGGAACGGAGGCACCACAUGGACUCAAUGAAGAGAAUUUAUCUAGAGAUGGAUUCACGGGAAGUAUUAUCUUGGAUUUAAGAAAAG